rnacentral:rRNA from 2 species
UACCUGGUUGAUUCUGCCAGUAGUCAUAG